AUUGAACGCUGGCGGCAGGCCUAACACAUGCAAGUCGAACGAGUGGCGGACGGGUGAGUAAUGUCUGGGAAACUGCCUGAUGGAGGGGGAUAACUACUGGAAACGGUAGCUAAUACCGCAUACCAUCAGAUGUGCCCAGAUGGGCGUAGCUUGUGGGUGGGGUAACGGCUAACCAAGGCGACGAUCCCUAGCUGGUCUGAGAGGAUGACCGGCCACACUGGAACUUAGACACGGUCCAGACUCCUACGGGAGGCAGCAGUGGGGAAUAUUGCGCAAUGGGCGCAAGCCUGAUACAGCCAGGCCGCGUGUAUGAAGAAGGCCUUCGGGUUGUAAAGUACUUUCAGCGGGGAGGCGUUACCCGCAGAAGAAGCACCGGCUAACUCCGUGCCAGCCGCCGCGGUAAUAC
rnacentral:rRNA from 1 species